rnacentral:rRNA from 1 species
GGUCUGAGAGGAUGAUCCGCCACACUGGGACUGAGACACGGCCCAGACUCCUACGGGAGGCAGCAGUGGGGAAUUUUGGACAAUGGGCGCAAGCCUGAUCCAGCCAUGCCGCGUGUCUGAAGAAGGCCUUCGGGUUGUAAAGGACUUUUGUCAGGGAGGAAAUCCCUAGCGCUAAUAUCGCUGGGGGAUGACAGUACCUGAAGAAUAAGCACCGGCUAACUACGUGCCAGCAGCCGCGGUAAUACGUAGGGUGCAAGCGUUAAUCGGAAUUACUGGGCGUAAAGCGUGCGCAGGCGGUUGUGUAAGUCUGAUGUGAAAGCCCCGGGCUUAACCUGGGAACUGCAUUGGAGACUG